CUUAUGCUCUUAAUUUCACCGUGUCAACUUCAAAUGUUUCAAACCCCAAUUUCACAUCCACCAUGAAUCAUUCUUCACAACCCGAAACACCUUCACCCUCUGAUUCCAUCACCUCGUCACAACCUGAACCGCCACCACCGUCUGAUUCCGCCGCCAAUCCAUCAUUUCCCGAACCAUCGCCACCGUCCUAUUCGACUACACUAUCCGAACCACAGUCUUCGUUGUUCCAUUCCUCAAAUUUUCUAUCAUGCUUUCGUAGUUUGAGAAUUGAGAUGCUAACUUCCACUCCGAUUCUCUUCAUCUUCGACUCGGAGCCACCAACCAACACUGAAACCAUCAUGUAACAAAAAACGACACCGUUUCGAUCAAUGGUUAAGGGUUUGCACAGCCAAAAUCUCCCCGCCGAUGUAGCACAUGUCAUCGAUCAGCUAGAGCGCCACUGCUUGGCUCCCGAUGGAUCUCUCAUCUCCAAGCCUCUCUACAACAAUCUACAACUCGAUAGAGAGGAAAUGUGCAGGGAACGACUUCUCGAAGCCAUGGUAUGUGAAUGUUAUCUUUGUUAUGAAGCCAUGGUAUUUUUCCAAACAUAAAUCAUUUUAACUUCAACUCACUUUCAGACAGAAUCAAUGUACUCAAUUAAUUUUCUUCACUGCAGAACCAAACAUACGAUUAGGCUUUUAGUUUAUUGCAUUGCUUGCUUGUAUUUAGUUGCAUUUCUGGAAAAUCUUCUUGUUGACUGUUUAAACUCACAGGAUAUUGCAGAUUUUAUUCACAUUGGAUGAUGGGCUGGUCACUAUUCUUUUUUUCUUUUCACAUUUAUUCUUUCAAUAAAAAAAAUUCUUUCCAUUUCUGUUUUCCAUUAAAUAUGCUAUUCUUUGAUUUACCUUCAUAAUAACAAGCCGUGUAGAUUUUGGGUCGGCAUCUCCUGCUUUGCAAUGGCCUGGGUGGAUUGUAGUCAAAUUGUACAGUAGAGUUUAGAUUGUACAUUUUGGUAGAAGAAGUUGCAUUUACAGUAGAGUUUAGAUUGUACAUUUAGGUAGAAGAAGUUGCAUUUACAGUAGAGUUUAGAUUCCGCAAGUGUUCAAACCUAAGUCGUUUAUAUCCCGGAAAGUUAGAGAAUUGAACAGGGAAGGAGCUGGGAAGGGGACUGUUUGCUUUGGGCUGGCAUUGUGUGUGGGCAAGACCUUUGUGGGUUGGAGUCUAUAUGGAUUUCAUUGCUUAGGUUGAUUUAGUAUCUCCAUGCCUCUUUUGAAGAGGAAUCUGGAUUUCUUCAGUUUGGAACAUCAUUAACAUCAAACGAUGCUAAGGAAAUACAGAAAUUUCUUGACCAAGCUGUGAGUGAAAGUUGUGAAGGAUUAAUUUUUAAACCAUUGAGUAAAGGUGCUAUAUAUGUAACUUCCCAGAAGUCGCGCAUCUGGCUAAAACUGAAGACUAUCAGAAUAAGUAGAUACUGUUCUCUUUCCCCUUAGUUUAUUUGUGUACUGGCUGAGUUCCUUGUAUUAAUUGGCUCUAGUUCUGCUGCUGACUGUCAUCUACAGUAAAGAGUAAAAGGUCAUGUUUGCUUGAUUUAAAACAAAAGCUCAGUGGCUAAUAAUGAUUUUGAAGUAUUACUUUUCACCCAAAAAAAAAAUCAAAAUUCAGCAGUGCAGACCCAAGUCUUUCAAAUCAGCCCUUGGGAGCCCAUUUCAGUUCACUGGGAGCUUAAUUCAACUCAUAUUCAAAGAUAUUAGUUAUCAUGAGUUUGAAUGUAAGCCUCGUCAUCUAGUUUAAAUCGACAUUUAUUUAAAUCCCGUUGAUGGAUAUGCUAUCCAUUAGUGAGAGCUAAAGUGUGUAUUGUUCUGGUUGUAACUUCUUUCGCCAUAGGAUAUAGAGUUUCAGUGUAGUUUAAGGUAGGUUGUUGAUGAAACUAACAAUUAACAGUGCUGAAACUUUGCAAAGCUUGUUGAGCUUGAUAGGAAACAAUUCUAUUCUCAUACAAAGGGUCACCGUAGUAAGGAUGAUGGAGCAUAAUAAUACUUAUUUUCUCAAUAGAGAAGUCUAAACAUUAAAUGUUAGCUUUGUGGACUAUUUACUCAUUAGUGCUUCUCAUCAUAGUUAACUAGUUCAAAUUUUAAACGACAUAUAUCUGUUUAUCUCCACUAGUCACUGUCUAACCAUUUGUUUUGUUUCAGUUGACAUAUAUGUUUUGGAUUCUGGGAUAUAAACUCAAUGAAGCUAAUGCACUACUUCUGAGCAAAAGAUCCUGCUUUCCAAAACUGGAUGCCAUAAAAAGUGCAACGGCCAAUAUUCGUGCCAACCAUUGUAGUCAUAACUUAUGAAGGCCAACACAUUCAUCCAAGUCCAGCUAUGUCCCGUUCCGCUUUCGCCGGAGUUCAAAUACCACCACCGACCGCUGUUUCCGGUGGGUUUCCUACUAACUUUGGUUCAGUUUUGCAAGGGAACUACUUAUCACAGUAUCAGCAGCAACAGCACCAUCAUCAACAUAAACAGCUAUUGGUUAAUACAUUGUCCUCUUUGAGUAACCCUUAUAAUUACAAUUCUUCUGCUUUUACUCAAGAGAGGAAGCUUUGUAAUCCAGGGACAACUACUUCCUUUCUUAGGGACCAUGGUCUUCUUCAAGAUGUUGUUCCUUCACAUAUGUUAAAGGAAGAGUAAAUAUAUGAUUUGAUAAAUAGCUUCAUUAUUACUUUCUAUGUUAGUAUUUCUUUCUUUUUUAGUA